GUUUGGCAAGAGUGAUGAUUCAAUUAGAUGUGUGAAAAGGGAACUCCUUUUUGUGAACUUCAAAAUUUUUGAGGCAUAAAUUUGUCUGACUUGCCCACC